AGAGUUUGAUCAUGGCUCAGGAUGAACGCCAGCUACAGGCUUAACACAUGCAAGUCGAGGGGCAGCAUCAUCAAAGCUUGCUUUGAUGGAUGGCACCGGCGCACGGGUGAGUAACACGUAUCCAACCUGCCGACAACACUGGGAUAGCCUUUCGAAAGAAAGAUUAAUACCGGAUGGCAUAGUUUCCCACAUGGGAUGAUUAUUAAAGAAUUUCGGUUGUCGAUGGGGAUGCGUUCCAUUAGGCAGUUGGCGGGGUAACAGCCCACCAAACCAACGAUGGAUAGGGGUUCUGAGAGGAAGGUCCCCCACAUUGGAACUGAGACACGGUCCAAACUCCUACGGGAGGCAGCA
rnacentral:rRNA from 1 species